rnacentral:misc_RNA from 1 species
ACCUCUCUCAGUCCGGAUCGUAGUCUGCAACUCGACUACGUGAAGUCGGAAUCGCUAGUAAUCGCGAAUCAGCAUUGUCGCGGUGAAUACGUUCCCGGGCCUUGUACACACCGCCCGUCACACCAUGGGAGUUGGUUGCUCCAGAAGCAGGUAGUCUAACCGCAAGGGGGACGCUUGCCACGGAGUGGUCAAUGACUGGGGUGAAGUCGUAACAAGGUAGCCGUAUCGGAAGGUGCGGCUGGAUCACCUCCUUUCGAGAAUGACGUGCACUCCACGGCGUCCACACAAGACACCUGCAUUUGAGAAGAUUAAGGGCCUAGGACUUUGGGUCCCAGCGCCCGAAAUAUCGGGGCUGUAGCUCAGCUGGGAGAGCACCUGCUUUGCAAGCAGGGGGUCACCGGUUCGAUCCCGGUCAGCUCCACCAGUUUAUUGAAGUACGGGUCUGUAGCUCAGGUGGUUAGAGCGCACCCCUGAUAAGGGUGAGGCCGGUGGUUCGAGUCCUCCCAGACCCACCAUUUCUCAAAUGCCUGCACAC